GAUGAACGCUAGCGGCAGGCCUAACACAUGCAAGUCGAGGGAGAAGCCCUUUCGGGGGCAGAAACCGGCGCACGGGUGCGUAACGCGUAUGCAACCUACCUUUCACAGGGGGAUAGCCCGAAGAAAUUUGGAUUAAUACCCCAUAAUAUUAUUGGAUGGCAUCAUUUGAUAAUUAAAACUGCGGUGGUGAAAGAUGGGCAUGCGUCCUAUUAGCUAGUUGGAGUGGUAACGGCACCCCAAGGCUACGAUAGGUAGGGGUCCUGAGAGGGAGAUCCCCCACACUGGUACUGAGACAGGGACCAGACUCCUACGGGAGGCAGCAGUGAGGAAUAGUGGUCAAUGGUCGGAAGACUGAACCAGCCAUGCCGCGUGCAGGAAGAAUGCCUUAUGGGUUGUAAACUGCUUUUAUAUGGGAAGAAUAAGGCGUACGUGUACGUUGAUGACGGUACCAUAUGAAUAAGCAUCGGCUAACUCCGUG
rnacentral:rRNA from 1 species